rnacentral:tRNA from 1 species
GCUCGGGUAGCCCAACGGCAGGAGGCGCAUCCUUGAGGUGGAUGGCAGUGUGGGUUCGAAUCCCAUCCCGAGUAC